rnacentral:misc_RNA from 1 species
UUCAGUUUCUCCUUCUGAAGUCAUUACUACCCAAAGAUGAUGCUGAUGAGAGGGACUGCAUUCUUGAAGUGAGGGCAGGAACUGGAGGGGAAGAGGCUUCCUUAUUUGCGAUGGACAUAUUCAAAAUGUAUGAAAAAUACUCUGUGAAAAAAGGCUGGAAGUAUGAGGUUCUAGAAACAGCUGAGUCUGAUCUUAAAGGAUACAAGGAAGCUAUUGCUUCUAUCUCUGGAGCUGGUGUGUACGGGAAACUAAAAUUUGAGAGUGGAAUACACAGAGUUCAG